UACAGAGGUGCUCAAGCGUUGUUCGGAUUCAUUGGGCGUAAAGGGUGCGUAGGUGGGCAGGUAAGUCAGUGGUGAAAUCUCCGAGCUUAACUCGGAAACUGCCAUUGAUACUAUCUGUCUUGAAUUAUCUGGAGGUAAGCGGAAUAUGUCAUGUAGCGGUGAAAUGCUUAGAUAUGACAUAGAACACCAAUUGCGAAGGCAGCUUACUACGGAUAUAUUGACACUGAGGCACGAAAGCGUGGGGAUCAAACAGG
rnacentral:rRNA from 1 species